UACAGAGGUCCCGAGCGUUGUUCGGAUUCACUGGGCGUAAAGGGUGCGUAGGUGGUGAGGUAAGUCGGAUGUGAAAUCUCCGGGCUCAACCCGGAAAUGGCAUUGGAAACUACCCUGCUGGAGGAUUUGAGGGGGGAUUGGAAUACUUGGUGUAGCAGUGAAAUGCGUAGAUAUCAAGUGGAACACCAGUGGCGAAGGCGAAUCCCUGGAAAAUACCUGACACUGAGGCACGAAAGCUAGGGGAGCAAACAGG
rnacentral:rRNA from 1 species